rnacentral:rRNA from 1 species
AACGAACGCUGGCGGCAGGCUUAACACAUGCAAGUCGAACGGGUGCAGCAAUGCACCAGUGGCAGACGGGUGAGUAACACGUGGGAACCUUCCUAAGGGUACGGAACAACUCAGGGAAACUUGAGCUAAUACCGUAUACGUCCGUGAGGAGAAAGAUUUAUCGCCCUUAGACGGGCCCGCGUCGGAUUAGCUAGUUGGUGGGGUAACGGCCUACCAAGGCGACGAUCCGUAGCUGAUCUUAGAGGAUGAUCAGCCACACUGGGACUGAGACACGGCCCAGACUCCUACGGGAGGCAGCAGUGGGGAAUCUUGGACAAUGGGCGCAAGCCUGAUCCAGCCAUGCCGCGUGAGUGAAGAAGGUCUUCGGAUUGUAAAGCUCUUUUGCCAGGGACGAUAAUGACGGUACCUGGAGAAUAAGCCCCGGCAAACUUCGUGCCAGCAGCCGCAGUAA